AGCGAACGCUGGCGGCAGGCUUAACACAUGCAAGUCGAGCGGGCAUCCUUGUGGUGUCAGCGGCAGACGGGUGAGUAACGCGUGGGAACGUGCCCUUCGGUUCGGAAUAACUCAGGGAAACUUGAGCUAAUACCGGAUACGCCCUUUUGGGGAAAGGUUUACUGCCGAAGGAUCGGCCCGCGUCUGAUUAGCUAGUUGGUGAGGUUACGGCUCACCAAGGCGACGAUCAGUAGCUGGUCUGAGAGGAUGAUCAGCCACACUGGGACUGAGACACGGCCCAGACUCCUACGGGAGGCAGCAGUGGGGAAUAUUGGACAAUGGGGGCAACCCUGAUCCAGCCAUGCCGCGUGAGUGAUAACAGCCUUAGGGUUGUAAAGCUCUUUUCUCCGGGACGAUAAUGACGGUACCGGAGGAAUAAGCCCCGGCUAACUUCGUG
rnacentral:rRNA from 1 species